rnacentral:rRNA from 1 species
UUUAAAAUAAAUAUAUUAAAUUAUAAAAAUAAAAUUAAACGGAUGCAGUAUUCUGACUGUAAUAAUGUAGCAUAAUCAUUUGCCAUUUAAUUAAUGGAUAGUAUGAAUGGUUAAACGAAUAUUUCACUGUCUUAAAAAAAAAACUUAUUAAAUUGAAAUAAUAGUUAAGAUGCUAUUUAAAAUUGUAAGACGAAAAGACCCUAUAGAGCUUAACUAAAAUCUUUUUUAAAAUUUUAAAAUUAAUAAAUUUUUUUAUAAAAAGAUAGUUAGUUUAGUUGGGGCGACUACCUUUUAUUAUAAACAAAGGUAAACAAAAAUUAAUAUAAUAAUUUAUUGUAUAAUAUAUAAAUUUAACAAUUAUAAAAAUAGGUUAUAUUGACCCGUUAUUAAUAAAUAAUAAUAAUAACGAUUAAUAAAUAAAAGCUACCUUAGGGAUAACAGAAUAAUUUUAAUCUAGAGAUCAUAUCGAAAUUAAAGUUUGUCA